rnacentral:rRNA from 1 species
CUACGGGAGGCAGCAGUGGGGAAUUUUGGACAAUGGGGGCAACCCUGAUCCAGCCAUGCCGCGUGCGGGAAGAAGGCCUUCGGGUUGUAAAGCUCUUUCGCACGCGACGAUGAUGACGGUAGCGUGAGAAGAAGCCCCGGCUAACUUCGUGCCAGCAGCCGCGGUAAUACGAAGGGGGCAAGCGUUGUUCGGAAUUACUGGGCGUAAAGGGCGCGUAGGCGGUGCGCUAAGUCAGGCGUGAAAGCCCUGGGCUCAACCCGGGAAUUGCGCUUGAUACUGGCGCGCUUGAAUCCGGGAGAGGUUGGUGGAAUUCCCAGUGUAGAGGUGAAAUUCGUAGAGAUUGGGAAGAACACCGGUGGCGAAGGCGGCCAACUGGACCGGUAUUGACGCUGAGGCGCGAAAGCGUGGGGAGCAAACAGGAUUAGAAACCCUAGUAGUCC